rnacentral:rRNA from 1 species
UACGUAGGGGGCAAGCGUUGUCCGGACUUACUGGGCGUAAAGGGUGCGUAGGCGGCCUGCUGCGUCGGUGCUGAAAGCGCCCGGCUUAACCGGGCGAGGCGUGCCGAUACGAGCGGGCUGGAGCCUUGGCGAGGGUGGCGGAACUCCUGGUGUAGUGGUGAAAUGCGUAGAGAUCAGGAAGAACACCCGUGGCGCAAGCGGCCACCUGGCCAAGAGCUGACGCUGAGGCACGAGAGCGUGGGGAGCGAACCGG